GAUGAACGCUGGCGGCGUGCCUAACACAUGCAAGUCGAGCGAACACAUGAUGAGCUUUCUCCUUUGACGUUAGCGGCUGACGGGCGAGUAACACGUGCAUCACAUUCUUCUUUUUCUUGGGUAAUAUCGGGAAAACGGUUACAAUAAUGGCUAAUAUGUCCUACGGCAUGGUUCAGUAGAUAAUCGCGGCUUUCCUGUCUCUAUUAGACGAUUCCGUGCCGGAUUAGCUAGUUGGUAAGGUAACGGCUUACCAAGGCAACGAUGCGUAGCCGACCUGAGAGGAUGAUCAGCCACACUGGAACUGAGACACGGUCCAGACUCCUACGGGAGGCAGCAGUGGGGAAUCUUCCACAAUGGGCGAAAGCCUGACGCAGCAACGCCGCGUGAGUGAUGAAGGUCUUCGGGUCGUAAAACUCUGUUAUUAGGGAAGAACAACUGUGUAAUUAACUAUGCACGUCUUGACGGUACCUAAUCAGAAAGCCCCGGCUAACUACGUG
rnacentral:rRNA from 1 species